rnacentral:rRNA from 1 species
UACGUAGGGCGCAAGCGUUGUCCGGAAUUAUUGGGCGUAAAGAGCUCGUAGGCGGUUUGUCGCGUCGACUGUGAAAACUGGGGGCUUAACUCUCAGCUUGCAGUUGAUACGGGCAGACUUGAGUUCGGUAGGGGAGACUGGAAUUCCUGGUGUAGCGGUGAAAUGCGCAGAUAUCAGGAGGAACACCGGUGGCGAAGGCGGGUCUCUGGGCCGAUACUGACGCUGAGGAGCGAAAGCGUGGGGAGCGAACAGG